AUACUUACCUGGCAGGGGAGAUACCAUGAUCACGAAGGUGGUUUUCCCAGGGCGAGGCUUAUCCAUUGCACUCCGGAUGUGCUGACCCCUGCGAUUUCCCCAAAUGUGGGAAACUCGACUGCAUAAUUAAAAAAAAAAAAAUAGUAUAAUGAAUCUCUUUUCC